rnacentral:rRNA from 1 species
GACGAACGCUGGCGGCGUGCUUAACACAUGCAAGUCGAGCGAUGAAGCUUCUUCGGAAGUGGAUUAGCGGCGGACGGGUGAGUAACACGUGGGUAACCUGCCUCAUAGAGGGGAAUAGCCUUUCGAAAGGAAGAUUAAUACCGAAUAAGAUUGUAGUACCGCAUGGUGCAGCAAUUAAAGGAGUAAUCCGCUAUGAGAUGGACCCGCGUCGCAUUAGCUAGUUGGUGAGGUAACGGCUCACCAAGGCGACGAUGCGUAGCCAACCUGAGAGGGUGAUCGGCCACAUUGGGACUGAGACACGGCCCAGACUCCUACGGGAGGCAGCAGUGGGGAAUAUUGCACAAUGGGGGAAACCCUGAUGCAGCAACGCCGCGUGAGUGAUGACGGUCUUCGGAUUGUAAAGCGCUGUCUUCAGGGACGAUGAUGACGGUACCUGAGGAGGAAGCCACGGCUAACUACGUGCCAGCAGCCGCCGUAA